AUCGCUUCUCGGCCCUUUUGGCUAAGAUCAAGUGUAGUUAUCUGUCUUAUCAGUUUUAAUAUCUGAUACGUCCCCUAUCUGGGGACCAUAUAUUAAAUGGAUUUUUCGAACAGGGAGAUGGAAAAAGAGCUUGCUCUGUCCACUCCACGCAUUGACCUGGUAUUGCUAGUACCUCCAGGACGGUGCACCCCUU